rnacentral:lncRNA from 1 species
GGGACCGCUGCAGUCCAUCUCCAGUUCUGAUUUUUUCUGUCCUUCGCGUGGUGCACUUAGCGGAUAUUGUAAGAUUGGCCUCUUUUUCUCCGUAAUUGAUCCCAAAAGUACUUCAUAGACUUCUUUUAUUGUAUAUAGCCUGCAAAGCAUGAAAAGUACUAAUCAGAGCAUUUUGUUAUCACUUUUUACCAUAAAAACUAUACAAGAAGGUGGUUCUUUAGGGCCUAAUUAUAGUCCAAUUCACCUAUUAUCAAGUGGUAAGAUCCUAGCUAGUUUGCCUACUAAUAUUACAACUUGUUAAACCUGGAUAAUUUCACAUGUAAACAGAACUGGUUUGAAAGUUGUUGACGAAUCAGCGUUAUAAAUUGGCAGUAUAGCGCCUGGGGAACGCAAGUUUGAUCGAGGAUUGGAGAGGAGAGGUGGAAGAAGUACAAUACCUAAUAUAUGGCCGAAAAAUAAUAGUUGUAAUUACUGCAAUUUGUAUACUCCAUUUUAUUUGGUUUUUUCCAUCCACAUCCAGUCGUACUAUCGUCCUCCUCUUCAUGUGCUGC